AAUAGAUACCCCGGUAGUCCUAGCCGUAAACGAUACUCGCUAGGUGUCGGCCACGGUGCGACCGUUGUCGGUGCCGUAGGGAAGCCGUGGAGCGAGCCACCUGGGAAGUACGGCCGCAAGGCUGAAACUUAAAGGAAUUGGCGGGGGAGCACCACAACGGGUGGAGCUUGCGGUUUAAUUGGAUUCAACGCCGGAAAUCUUACCGGGACCGACAGCAACAUGAAGGCCAGGCUGAAGACUUUGCCGGAUUAGCUGAGAGGUGGUGCAUGGCCGUCGUCAGUUCGUACUGUGAAGCAUCCUGUUAAGUCAGGCAACGAGCGAGACCCACGCCCACAGUUGCCAGCGUACUCUCCGGAGUGACGGGUACACUGUGGGGACCGCCGCUGCUAAAGCGGAGGAAGGAAUGGGCAACGGUAGGUCAGUAUGCCCCGAAUAUCCCGGGCUACACGCGAGCUACAAUGGUUGGUACAAUGGGUAUCUACCCCGAAAGGGGAUGGAAAUCUCCUAAAGCCAAUCUUAGUUCGGAUUGAGGGCUGCAACUCGCCCUCA
rnacentral:rRNA from 1 species